rnacentral:rRNA from 1 species
CCUACGGGUGGCAGCAGUGGGGAAUAUUGGACAAUGGGGGGAACCCUGAUCCAGCCAUGCCACGUGUGUGAAGAAGGCCCUCGGGUUGUAAAGCACUUUCAGUGAGGAAGAACGCCUGGUGGUUAAUACCCAUCAGGAAAGACAUCACUCACAGAAGAAGCACCGGCUAACUCCGUGCCAGCAGCCGCGGUAAUACGGAGGGUGCGAGCGUUAAUCGGAAUUACUGGGCGUAAAGCGCGCGUAGGUGGCUUGAUAAGCCGGUUGUGAAAGCCCCGGGCUCAACCUGGGAACGGCAUCCGGAACUGUCAAGCUAGAGUGCAGGAGAGGAAGGUAGAAUUCCCGGUGUAGCGGUGAAAUGCGUAGAGAUCGGGAGGAAUACCAGUGGCGAAGGCGGCCUUCUGGACUGACACUGACACUGAGGUGCGAAAGCGUGGGUAGCAAACAGGAUUAGAUACCCUAGUAGUC